UAAGAUCCACAGGAGCCCUGCCGCA
rnacentral:misc_RNA from 1 species